rnacentral:misc_RNA from 1 species
CUAGUAACUACAGGGAGGAAGAUUUCUUUUGCAGCUUUUGGGAAUUAAAUGGUUCCCUAUAAGAGCAUUGCCUCAAGGCAAUUAUGAUCUUCUGGCCUCUUUGUAGUUGGUUACUUUGGGGAAGCCCCAGGAGCCAGUGCCAUCCAUUUCAGUUGUUAGUUGCUGUUGUGUUUUCUAGCUUGCUAACGUUGGAGGUAUUAUUUCCUCCCAAGGGGAAG